rfam:Nicotiana sylvestris Nsyl_contig56491, whole genome shotgun sequence.
GUAGUUCAUAGCUUGCAUAAGUUAGAAUUGCAACUAUGCGGAGUAGAUUAGCGUGGUCCGUGCCUUACGACGACGUGUACAGAUCGAGAAAUGGUCCAAAUUUGU